AGCGAACGCUGGCGGCAGGCCUAACACAUGCAAGUCGAACGAACCUUUCGGGGUUAGUGGCGGACGGGUGAGUAACACGUGGGAACGUGCCUUUAGGUUCGGAAUAACUCAGGGAAACUUGUGCUAAUACCGAAUGUGCCCUUCGGGGGAAAGAUUAAUCGCCUUUAGAGCGGCCCGCGUCUGAUUAGCUAGUUGGUUGAGGUAAUGGCUCACCAAGGCGACGAUCAGUAGCUGGUCUGAGAGGAUGAUCAGCCACAUUGGGACUGAGACACGGCCCAAACUCCAACGGGAGGCAGCAGUGGGGAAUCUUGCGCAAUGGGCGAAAGCCUGACGCAGCCAUGCCGCGUGAAUGAUGAAGGUCUUAGGAUUGUAAAAUUCUUUCACCGGGGACGAUAAUGACGGUACCCGGAGAAGAAGCCCCGGCUAACUUCGUG
rnacentral:rRNA from 1 species